rnacentral:snRNA from 1 species
AGUGUAGUAUCUGUUGUUAUCAGUUUAAUAUCUGAUAUGUUCUCGAUAUGAGAACUGUUACAAACCUUACCUAGAAACCCUGGUUCUUUAGCUGAGCCUGUAACGAGUCA